rnacentral:rRNA from 1 species
CCUACGGGGGGCAGCAGUGAGGAAUAUUGGUCAAUGGGCGCAAGCCUGAACCAGCCAAGUCGCGUGAGGGAUGACGGUCCUAUGGAUUGUAAACCUCUUUUGUCGGGGAGCAAGGCCCGCCACGUGUGGCGGGAAGGAGAGUACCCGAAGAAAAAGCAUCGGCUAACUCCGUGCCAGCAGCCGCGGUAAUACGGAGGAUGCGAGCGUUAUCCGGAUUUAUUGGGUUUAAAGGGUGCGUAGGCGGAAGGUUAAGUCAGCGGUAAAAUGUCGGUGCGCAACACCGGCCUGCCGUUGAAACUGGUCUUCUUGAGUGAGCGAGAAGUAUGCGGAAUGCGUGGUGUAGCGGUGAGAUGCAUAGAUAUCACGCAGAACUCCGAUUGCGAAGGCAGCAUACCGGCGCUCAACUGACGCUGAGGCACGAAAGCGUGGGGAUCGAACAGGAUUAGAUACCCUUGUAGUC